rnacentral:rRNA from 1 species
GACAGAGGUGCCAAGCGUUAGGCGGAAUCACUGGGCUUAAAGCGCGUGUAGGCGGCGGGCUAAGUACCUUGUGAAAUCCUGCGGCUCAACCGCAGAACUGCUUGGUAUACUGGGUCGCUUGAGCCAUCCAGGGGCAACUGGAACACGCGGUGGAGCGGUGAAAUGCGUAGAUAUCGCGUGGAACGCCAAAGGUGAAAACAGGUUGCUGGGGAGGUGCUGACACUGAGACGCGAAAGCCAGGGGAGCGAACGGG